GAAAUGCGAUAAGUAAUGUGAAUUGCAGAAUUCAGUGAAUCAUCGAAUCUUUGAACGCACAUUGCGCCCGCCAGUAUUCUGGCGGGCAUGCCUGUUCGAGCGUCAUUUCAACCAUCAAGCCCCGUGCUUGUGUUGGGGACCUGCGGCUGCCGCAGGCCCUGAAAACCAGUGGCGGGCUCGCUGUCACACCGGGCGUAGUAGAUUUUAUCUCGCUCAGGGCGUGCUGCGGGUUCCGGCCGUUAAAAAGCCUUUUUUACCCAAGGUUGACCUCGGAUCAGGUAGGAAGACCCGCUGAACUUAAGC
rnacentral:misc_RNA from 1 species